AAAACCCUAGCCGCCCAUAAAAUUUCCUCAUCUGCCCUCUCUCAAUCUCGCCAAAACCCUAGCAAAAAAUCUCAAGUGCCCUCAUCUACCCCCGCACCAAGCCCUCAGUCUUCACCAGUCCUCAAAUCUCAGAUGAGGUCUCAUCAAAUUUCCUCAUCCUCCCUCUCUCAAUCUCGCCAAAACCCUAGCGAAAAAUCCCAAGUGCUGCCCUCAUCUACUCGCGCUCAAACCUAUCGUUCUCCCCCAAUGUGCCAAAACCCUAGCCGCCAAUCCCCCCCAAUUCCUGGGCAUCCAGCCCCAACUUCUGGGGAUCGAGAUCCAAUGGCUGCCCGACUUCUGGUGGUUGGGUCUAAGGCUCGAGGUGGUGAGGUGCCACAGUUAUGCUUGUUUUUAUUAUUAAGUGAUCUGAAUGUCUAAAGAUGUGCCCUGGGUCUGAAGUAUAUACCUAAUGGAGAGCUUAUGGAGCCUCUGCUUCUCAGAGGGGCAUCUUCUUAGAGGGUUUUCAGAGCAAUUCUAUUCGUAUUUUCUCAUUGCUUUAUGGGAAAUGGUAUUGUCAAUGAGAAAUCUUUAGAGCUAUUCUGCAAAAAUGUUUGGAUAAAGGCUACGUGGGGUUUGUACAAUUUUUUUUGUCUUACAUCAAUUCUUUUUGUUUCAUUUUUUGAUGUACAUUUUUUCUAUUGACAGUGACAUUACACAUCAUACUCUUAUGGUUGUUGUUGCACGCCUUGAGGAGUAACGAGGGGAAAAGUAGAUAAUUAUUUAACUAUUGCUUUUUAAUUUUUAAUUUCUUAUCAUAUUUUAGUAGUUUUAUAAUAUUUUUGUUAUUGAAACAAUAUUCCUUCAUAUGUAGAUUUGGCCUAACAUGCUCAAAUGCUAAGUUUGUUCUAGAGAGCUUGUAAAUGGAAAGUAAAAAAGUUUUCUAUUCUGUUUUGGGGCUGUUGCCUUAUUGCAAUUUGUAAGUACGUAUGUUGGUAUAAGACGUUCAUUUUCUCUGUUGCAAUUACAUGUUUUGCCAUUGUUGUGGAACAUAAAAUUCUGUUGGUUGUAAGUUUUGAGAUUGGCCUAAAACAGCACUUUUAAUGUGGUUAUUCUGUUA